rnacentral:misc_RNA from 1 species
UCACAGUUUGCACUGGCAGUCUUGUUAGAGUUCCCGACAUGACUCGCUGGCAACUAACAACUACGGGGCACUCAAUCCUUUCGGAUUAAUUCUCGGGAUGUCAAACCUGGGUAAGGUUCUUCGUUUAUCAUCGAAUUAAAGAACAUAAUCCACCGCUUGUGCGGGUCCCCGUCAAUUCCUUUAUGUUUUAGUCUUGCGACCGUACUCCACAGGCGGGAUACUUAACGCGUUAGCUUCGCUACUGAAGGGGUCGAUACCUCCAACAGCUAGUAUCCAUCGUUUACAGCGUGGACUAC